rnacentral:rRNA from 1 species
UUGGGAAUUUUGGACAAUGGGUGAAAGCCUGAUCCAGCAAUGCCGCGUGAGUGAAGAAGGCCUUCGGGUUGUAAAGCUCUUUUGUCAGGGAAGAAACGGUGAAAGCUAAUAUCUUUUGCUAAUGACGGUACCUGAAGAAUAAGCACCGGCUAACUACGUGCCAGCAGCCGCGGUAAUACGUAGGGUGCAAGCGUUAAUCGGAAUUACUGGGCGUAAAGCGUGCGCAGGCGGUUUUGUAAGUCUGAUGUGAAAUCCCCGGGCUCAACCUGGGAAUUGCAUUGGAGACUGCAAGGCUAGAAUCUGGCAGAGGGGGGUAGAAUUCCACGUGUAGCAGUGAAAUGCGUAGAUAUGUGGAGGAACACCGAUGGCGAAGGCAGCUCACUACGAAUGUAUUGACACUGAGGCACGAAAGCGUGGGGAUCAAACA